ACCUGUGGGUCCCCAUAUGUUGUUGGACUACAACUCCCAUCAUCCCUCAGCUCUGGCCUUGCUAGCUAGGGGUGAUGGGAGUUGUAGUCCAACAACAUAUGGGGACCC